rnacentral:lncRNA from 1 species
UUGCUAAAUGUAUUCUCUUUUCUCCUAUUUUUACUGUUUACACUCCCUCCCUGGAGUUCGUAUUUUCAGUUUAUUCAAAAAUUGCAUUAGCAAACAUCCCUAAUUUGUCCAGGAGUUAACCACUUUCCAUAACUUAAAUUUUGGAUAUCAAUUGGUGUUAAUUUUGCCAAGAAAAUAUACUCGAAUCCAUUACAUACGAAGAACUUAAAAUCGGACUAUCAAAGCUCGGAUCAUGGUUGGCUGAAGCAGAAAUAUUACAACUCAUGGAAGCUAUACAUUGAUAGAGUAUUAAUUCAAUAUUUAAGCAAAAGGCUUAUAAUAUUACUGUUAGUAUUGAAUAAAAGGAAAUUUUAAAAGUAAAUUUAAUUAUUUUGACCUUUUACUCAAUAGCAACAAGAAUUUACUAUUCAUGUGGUUAAGGGUUUACGUACAGCUUCUUCCAAAACAUACUAAUAUUACAGUAUUAGUAUUUGUACAUUCUAAAACAUGACAACCAUAUUCUCCGAGAAGAAUCAAAUCACCCAUAUAGAUUUCAGGUCUAAAAAUUUAAUUAUUUUGAUCUUGUCAAACAAAGCUAAACUUGUUUGUGUUACAACAUAUUCAUAACUAGAGAUGAGUUGAUGCAAACUUUUUUCCAAUCGGAACGACCGCGGUUCAUGAUACGGACUUUUUCGACCGAAUUGAAAUUGCAGAUGAUUCAUACGUCCAGUAGCGAAGCUUGACAACGAAGACGGGGGGUCGAAAACAUAUAUACCCAAAAAUUUCUAUAGAACCAGGGGUCGAAAACGUAUAUACCCAAAAAUUUCUAUACGAAAACUAUAUAUAUAACACUAUGAGCGAAAAGUUCGGCCCCUGCAUAAGUCAAUCUUAGCGGCAGUUCGUGAUACUGACUUUUUCCGAUUGUACCGGCACAACGGCGACUUUUUAACAGCAAAGAGUGAAAUUCUGUCGUUGCUAACUUGCGCAGUAGCAAUUAAGUUGCAGAUUGAGUGUUUGUAAAUUUAGAAGAACAAAGAGUGUUGAUUGUGAAUUGAUAGUGUAAAAGUUGUGGAAUGAAUUUUUAGAGGGGUUGAAUUUGAAAAGUUUUAAAUUGUUUUUUUUUGGAAAGGGGUUAUGAAAAGUAAAAUGUGGGGUACAUAUAGCCGCACCCUUCGAUAAACAUAAAUAAACGUUAACGAUGGCGUCCGUUUAGAUGUUAAUACGCGGCCUAGGCCUAAAAAUUAAGUCCAUAAAAGCUUAACACUUAGGUGCUGUUUGUUUUUUCAGAUGUAAAACGUCUGCAGUAUGCAGACCACAUCUGUGGCAGAAGAGGUGGACCAAACCUCUGCAAUCUGCAAGAAGAAGACUGUUUGUUUUUUUUUUUUACAUCUGUAGCGGAAGAGGUAGCCCUAAACUAUUAUUUCCUCCUUAAAUUUUCCUUUUCACCAAUUUAAAAAGCUCAUUAUCAGUACACCAUAACUGUUAUGCGUCAAAGCUAUCAAAAAACUACUAUACCACUAGGUUUUUCAUUACAACCUCAAUAAUC